UACGUAGGUGGCAAGCGUUAUCCGGAAUUAUUGGGCGUAAAGCGCGCGUAGGCGGUUUUUUAAGUCUGAUGUGAAAGCCCACGGCUCAACCGUGGAGGGUGAUUGGAAACUGGAAAACUUGAGUGCAGAAGAGGAAAGUGGAAUUCCAUGUGUAGCGGUGAAAUGCGCAGAGAUAUGGAGGAACACCAGUGGUGAAGGAGACUUUGUGGUCUGCAACUGACGCUGAGGCUCGAAAGCGUGGGGAGCAAA
rnacentral:rRNA from 1 species